rnacentral:rRNA from 1 species
CCUACGGGAGGCAGCAGUAGGGAAUUUUCCGCAAUGGGCGAAAGCCUGACGGAGCAAUACCGCGUGAGGGAUGACUGCCUAUGGGUUGUAAACCUCUUUUUUCAGGGAGGAAUAAAUGACGUGUACCUGAAGAAUAAGCAUCGGCUAACUCCGUGCCAGCAGCCGCGGUAAGACGGAGGAUGCAAGUGUUAUCCGGAAUCACUGGGCGUAAAGCGUCUGUAGGUGGCUCGACAAGUCAACUGUUAAAUCUUGAAGCUCAACUUCAAAAUCGCAGUCGAAACUAUCGGACUAGAGUAUAGUAGAGGUAAAGGGAAUUUCCAGUGGAGCGGUGAAAUGCGUAGAGAUUGGAAAGAACACCGAUGGCGAAGGCACUUUACUGGGCUAUUACUGACACUCAGAGACGAAAGCUAGGGUAGCAAAUGGGAUUAGAUACCCCAGUAGUCCUAGCCGUAAGCAAUGGAUACUAGGUGUUGAACAGAUCGACCUGUGCAGUACCAAAGCUAACGCGUUAAGUAUCCCGCCUGGGAAGUAUGCACGCAAGUGUGAAACUCAAAUGAAUUGACGG